AUGGAUAGGACCCCCGUGAAGAAGAGGUGGACGAAGCCUUUUUGGUCAACUUGCCAGAGCAUCCGGUUAUACCCAGCUUCGGCGGGGCGCGUGACGGCUCUCCCGGGAAGACAGUUCAGCCGGCCACAGAGCGCAGGUGGCCCCGGACCACAGACCGCAGGUGGCCCCGGACCACAGACCGCAGGUGGCCCCCGGACCACAGAGCGCAGGUGGCCCCCGGACCACAGACCGCAGGUGGCCCCCGGACCACAGAGCGCAGGUGGCCCCCGGACCACAGACCGCAGGUGGCCCCCGGACCACAGACCGCAGGUGGCCCCGGACCACAGACCGCAGGUGGCCCCCGGACCACAGAGCGCAGGUGGCCCCCGGACCACAGACCGCAGGUGGCCCCGGACCACAGACCGCAGGUGGCCCCCGGACCACAGACCGCAGGUGGCCCCCGGACCACAGAGCGCAGGUGGCCCCCGGACCACAGACCGCAGGUGGCCCCCGGACCACAGAGCGCAGGUGGCCCCCGGACCACAGAGCGCAGGUGGCCCCCGGACCACAGACCGCAGGUGGCCCCGGACCACAGACCGCAGGUGGCCCCCGGACCACAGACCGCAGGUGGCCCCCGGACCACAGACCGCAGGUGGCCCCCGGACCACAGACCGCAGGUGGCCCCCGGACCACGCGGGGCGAAGGUCCUCCCUCCGGAUGGUGAGGACCCCGGUCCCCGGGCUCCCCCGCAGGACCAAACGGUGGGAGUCGGAAGAGCAGCCCCGAGCCAGCUGGCCUGGCGGAGUCCGGGGCGCACACCCAGAGCCGUAUUCGCCGGGAAGGCGAGAGUCAAGUGAAAAGCCAAGAAAGAGCUUAGGAAACCAGGCAUCUGUUCUGUUGAACGUGGUGGGUCAGCCCGAUGCGCUUAUCUUUCUUUUACCCAAGUCUCUGCAGAGUGUUCGAAGGUGUUCUCAUGACCACAGACAGGAAGGGGGAAGACAGCUGCGGGUGAGAUACUCGGACAAGUGCGAGGAAGGCGGGGAGCAGACGGAGAAGUGCUGGACGACGGCCUGCGGCUGGCCGCGCGGAUGGGAGCAGAGCCAGCUCGCCCCACAGAGACCCCAGGUAGGACCCCUUGCUCGCCAGGCAGCCGGUGAGGACCCUGGGGCCGAUUCGACGGAGAAAAUGAACAGGAGAUGCUCUGGACGUGGCAAAGGCUGGCGUGGGGAGGGGGAUCCUGCAGGAGACGCUGGAAAAGACCCUUUACUGUAG
rnacentral:lncRNA from 1 species